AUGUCGAUGGAUUUUGUAACUUCUCUCCACAAUAAACGACGCCACGAAGAGGAGCAUGGAAACUGGGAAUGUCAACCGAAAAGGCUGUGCAGUGGAGUAGUUGGUUGUGGCCACCUUGAAUAUGGCGCGGUCCGCGAAUGUCCCAUGGAUACAUGGGAGAUCCAGCAGCUAGUCGUACCGAAUGGGAACAGAGGAAACGAAGUCGUUCCUAACAUGAGUACUCCACCAGGCAGAGCAUCUGCGCAGUGUUGCCCAAGAUGUAUGGCUGGAGAGUCGGGACACAUUAACCACAUCAUGGGAUAUUGAUUAUGAAGAUCUUCAACAAAACCGCCUUCGCUAUAAGUGAGAGGAUGGGCGACCAAUCCUGAUUUUGUAGAUGCCAGUUUGUCCUCCUGCCCUAUGCAAGCAAUGCAUAUCAUGAGUGCCUUGCACAUUUUUUUAAUCUCUGCCAAGUACUGUACUCCAACACUGUUUACAUUUCCAAGUAUUUGUAAUGGCUAAAGGGCUAGUCAUUGGAUAACUAAUUUCUCACAUUGUAGAUGAACGAGGUAAAUGUAGUACUACAGUGUAGUUGAUGAAGAAUCCGUCAUCAGGACAAAGCCAUGACAGUGUUUCUAUAUUCACAAAGGGAAUCUGUAAUCCAGGAAGCUGGAGCAAAUACAUAACAAAUGCAGAGACACUUGGAGAUGUAAUACAGUUGCUAUGAUCAAUCAGCAAUGAUUAGGAAUAGAACUCCAUCGUUUGGUAUGCAAAUUAUUGUCCCUUUUACAUAUAGAUAUAUGGUAUAGAAACCUUUUUUUAAAUGUUGAAUAAUUCUGAGUGGUCUGAUUUAAUUAAGAAUGUUAAUCUUGACAUAAAGAAAACUGCUACAAUAAUUAAAAGCAUUUCAAUGAUUUAAUUGAAAUGGUUUAAUUAUUUAUGGGAUUUUUAUAGACAGUGUAUCUCAUAGAUACUAAUUAAUUUAUGGAUAUAACAUGACCCUUUUAUAUUGUCCAAAUCGUUUCCAAACAUCACUGUGGAACAUUGUUGUGUCAAAUUAAAGAUGUAGAAAAAUCUGCAUUCAAAAUGUAGAAUUGUCCAUGUAGCUUCAACUUUUUCUUCCCUGUGAUCUUUGUAUAAACCAUGGGUUUAAACAAUAGCAAUGUGUUUUGUCAUCAGUAUGGUGGGGUUUCAGUGUAGUUGUCCAUAUGUGCUGGUUAUGAGUCCAUAUUGCAUCACCAAAUCACAGAGCUGCUGUUUUCCAUCCUCUGCACAUUGCACACAAGAUGGUGCUGUGCGGUAUCUUUUGUCAUCCCUGACUCACUGGUUUUCAUGCCGAAUGUCUCCAUGAAUCAUACAGGAACUUGCUCUUGCGUCUUGCUCUUGUACUAAUUUGUGUAUUGAUUCAUUUUUGUCAAAAACCAAAUAGUAUUCCCGUAUAGGAAUAGUAUCCGCUUAUAAAGAUAUUUUUAGAGAGGCAUUGAAAACCAUUUUUGUACAUAACGAGGGAAGAAUCAUUGUCCUUUCGCUCUAUACUAUUUCAUGGCAUUUUUUCUUUAAAAUGCCUGUGCAAAGACAUUGUUUCCCUAAUUACUUUGUGGCUACACAUUGACUAGUCCAAAAACAAAUUUAAUUUCAUCCAGGAAAAAAGAAUUGACACCUUUAUUACUUGUUCCUUUGCCAUGUGAUUUUCUUUUAUUGAUCCUAAAACCAUGGUGGUAUUCAUACAGAGGUUUGUCACAUGUGCCAAUGUCUUGGUAUUCAUAAGUCAUUGUUUCUGCUCUUGUAAGUUCUAAAGGAAUUACUUCAGCUCAAAAGAAGCCAUCAGGAAAGGCUGAAGUUUGUCGUAAGUCAGCCAAGAUGGAUUUAAGUGUAUUACCAGCACAAUCUCCGCUGUCCUUCCCCGGUGCAGCCUGGUGUACAAGGAGAAAUGAGAGUAUGUUCUCAGACAAAGCUUGACCUCAGGGACGUGGCUCUGAGGGCCUAGAUUUUCAAUAAUGUAAGACAAUAAAGCUUAGGCUCGUAACCUGCUGCA
ensembl:lncRNA